AUCCUUUCAAAGAUGAACUGCCGCCUGAGAAGGGAUGGCUCACUAAAUUUCUCCCAGAUAUUUAUUGCUCGCAUUAAAAAGAUAAAUCAGAAAGGGGGAGCGAAGGUAUAAACCAGGUAUUGCUGAUGCCAUCCACUCUAUUUAGAACAUGGAUCAGGGUGUUUGUUUGUGGAAUCUGUUUGCUUCUAGGAUGUAAUUUAACAUACUAACACUCAACCUAUUUAAACAGAAAGACAGAUAAAGGCUUACUGGGGAUCUCUGGGGGCGGCUGCACAGCCCUGCUUUGACUUCGCCUUUCCUCAGGAGCAUAAAAUGAACAGUAAUUAGGCUUUGAUACUCUGGCAAAUGAACAGUAAUUAGAAUCUGCUACCUCAAGUCCUUAACUCCACUCCUCAUAGAAUAUUCACACCAUUAUUGAACAUUUAGAUUAGGCAGCUUCUAUUCGCACAAACGUGGCUCGCCACAGCCCACAGAUGGCCCAGGGAAAGAAGAGAGACGAUUCGCCAGAGCCUUUGGGCCCACAGAGGGGAUUUUCUGGUUAUUAGAACCCUACUAGAUCAGGGCCAAUUAUAAAGAAAACUGUCAGUCAAGAGAAAAUUGCUACAUGAUUAGUGAAAAGGACAAAAUCAGGUGAAAAGUGUGAAUCAUUCAGGCAGCUUUGAUUUGCUAAUCAGGGGAAGGGAAAGAACAGGAAAGUCCCCAGCUGUAUCCCUGGUUUACUCUUUUCAUUUUAUCAUGACCUUCUUAGCAGUUACUGAUAUAAUCUCUGCGAAAAAAGAAACAAGCAACCCUCAUAAGCACAGAGACCCAGCUCCCAGCGAGCCUGGGAGGUCAUGCAGUGUAAAUGAGAUGAAGAGACCCCGAUAACAAUGACGGGAACAUGAAUAAUCAAGGCUUGGGUCUCUGUAGUUACAAGGGCAGGAGAUUCCUAAUUAUGUUAAUAGUUUUUAAUAGACUAAUUCCCACCGAAAAGCCUUUGUGGAGAGACACUGCCUUCUCUGGAGAGAACCAUGUUAAGGAACAGCAGGAAUGGUGUUGAUUUUUUUAACCACAUUUCUGGGGGAAGCUUCUGGAUGGCUCUCUGGUGGAGUGUGACAUUGAAGGGUGUGGUGGACCCCUUUGUCAGGGCUGGCUAGGCCUGUAGUUUUCCGUCUAGGGAAGAGACAGGUAGCAUCAGAGAAGUAUAUAAUGAAGAUCAGAGACUAGCGGCUGUGACAGCUGUGGCAGCUGAUGUGCAUUGGGUCCCUGCUAAUUUUAGACAGAGGCAUUGAUGGAUCCCCAAAUCUUGACCACACAUCCCAUUAGCCUCUGUCUAUGACAGUGGGAGAAGGAUAUUAUAAAAAAGUGCAAGUGCCGGAAAAAAAAAAGCUGAGUGAAAGGUGCAGAGCAGUCAAAAAGCCUCAAUAAAAUCUGAAAUAGCUUCAGAAAUAUUUUCCUGAUAUGCUACUAUUAAGUUAACCUUGUGGCAGAAAAGUGGGGAGCUAGCUUUUAUUUUCCCAGGCAUUUGAAGCACAGAAAGCAGUUCUGAAAGAAUUCAUUCCCUUUUGUAGAAGGAUUGCAGAUGGAGAGGCUUCUAAUGUGAGGAAAAACACGGAAUGACAAGUGUGGGAAAGAGCAAGCACUAAAUUACUGUCAGAAAAAUAAACGGAGUCGCACAGUGGUACUCGGUGAUUUACGGGGGCAAUUAGUCACCAGCCCACGGCGCUGCUGAGGACAGCACGGCGGCAGACGCGUCAGGCCUGAGAGGAAGAGGAGGCUUUGCGGUGCUCUCCAGACAACUUUUCAAACAACAAGAGAGGAUAUUUGAGCACAUUAGGUACCAUGUCUUCAUUCUGGGUGCCCACCCUUUCCAUUAUUCAACCAACCUAAUACAUAAACAUAGUUUUAGCACGAUAUUAACCUGUUCUGUGUGUGUUAAAAAGACUCCAACUGCUGCUAUUUUCUCUCCCACUGUCCAAAGUAGGUGUUUCCCCGUCCUGUAAAAAGCAAAACAAACAAAAAAACCCUUUCCCCACUCCCAAAUUGUCCCCCUGAUGUGUCCCUUCGGUCUGUCUCAUAACUUUUGCAUCUUGCUCCUAUGUUCUAUAUUUACUCGGAGCCACUGGAUGCUAAGGAAUUUGGUCUGCAGCUCCUCCAGGGAAGUGUGGUGAGCUGGUACAAGGAGGUGACAAACGAGGCCAUAAAACACAGGGUAAAUGAAAACGAUACAUAAACUUCCAAGUAUUUCUUAACAUGUUCUUUAACAUACUGUAUGUGGUGUCUGUGUUUAUGUGCAUAGCAAGAUAAACCUGGCAAAAUGUAAUUAAUUGGUAUGGAUGCUUUAAUAGGAAUUCUCCAUCAGAAAAAGCCUAGAAUGGAAAGCCAAAAAGAACCCAGGAAAGAUAACAACUUUUGUGUAGGGGCAGUAGCAAGGCUGCUGGGUGAACAAAUGAAGCUUCCUCAGGAGUUGAGUAUUCUACAGCAUUACCUAAGAAUGCUGCCAAAUUAUAUUUCUGAAGCACUUUAUAGUUUACAAAGGACAUUGGGAAUUCUUUUUCUCAUUUGAUCUUGCCUUGGCUUUAGUCAAGAAUACUGCUCAGUUAGAAAUGUGUUCAGUGAGUAUGUACACACCUGGAGGAUGUGACCCAACACAUGCACCUUGGCCUGUAAGCUGGAGUUUUAAAGAGGCAGAAGCAUAUUGAUGAGCUGAUGCUGGUAUGAUGCACCAUUCAACUGGACAUUAAUUUCUGAUAAAGAGGAUCAUAACUGGGAAAAACUGCACAUAUUAUUGUCUACUGUUUCCCACGUUAUUAAGGUUCCCCCCAUCUUGAGUUUUAUAAGCACAAUGAGUCUUUUAAAACAAUUAAAAAAUAAUACAGAGCCCUGGGAUUGGAUGUUAAACUGCAUAUGUGUGACCACAAUGGCACUGGUUUUCAGCUACCCUGUAACAAGGAAUCAAACCCAACCAGGAAAGGAGGGAGAGGUGUAUCUUGGCAACAUCGUGAGCAUAUGAAAUGCAGAUCUUAAUUGAAUAUCAGGAAUAAUAUAAUUUGGAAAUUUAAGGAAAGAUAUUUUCCAUCAGUGAAAAAAGGCCAUUUUAAUACAUAUCACAUUUUUCAGAUGUCCUUCUUCCUUUUCCCAAUGCCACAUUUAUAGUCUGGUGGAGGAAUACAAUUAAGGAAAUUAUAUAUAAAAAGUCAAAUUUAAGAUAUAAAAAUUCUGCAAUUCUCAUAAAUUUUAUGUUCACUUUUUCCUUGAUCUAAAUAGAGUAUUCUAAAACUGUUAACUAUCUAGGGGACACAUUUUUAUAUACAUAUUAUUUUUGUUUAGAAAUUGUAAGCUAGUGAGAAGGGAAAAUGACGUUGACUAUUGCACUUAUUUGUUGAUAGAAAUAAUAGCUUUUUAACAUCUGGAUUCAGGUAUCUUCUCUCCUAAAUCACACAACUUUCAUAAAUUUCAAAACAGGGAUUUGGAUUGAAUAAAAAUAGGAAGCCAGUGCUUCCUACAUGUCCCCUGUAUUUGUGUUCAUGUGUAGUAUUUAUGCAAUGUUAUGACUUGAUUAUAAUCUAUAAUUCUUGGUUGUUAUUUCAAUUGCAACUAUAAUUUUUAGAUUAAUGGUUAUAUUUUUGGUAAGAAUACACAAAAAGUUUUAUGUUCAUGAUUGAAAGGAGCAUCAUUAAACAUUCAUUAUUACCACUCAAAUUAGUUGUCAUGUGCUACAUAAAAAUGGUUACCUGUUAUCAUUUCACUAAUUUAGGUUCAGCAGUAAGUGAACAGCAAUAUAUAUCUCAUAUCAGUAGGGAAUUUUUGUUGGGGAACGGAGAGAGAAAUUAUUUUAAAACCCAUUUGACAUAUUUAUGUUGACAAAUUAUUUAAAGGAAUUACUGCUUUGUCAAUAAACAUGUUUGUAUAUUGGAAUAGGAUUGUGUUUGGAUUUACUUCUAGCUGUUUAAUUACUCUAUGAUUGUGAAAAACAAUGCUUAUUCAUAUGGUUACGAGUAAAAAAAAAAAAUACAGAGGUUGAGAUGUUUUCGUUUUUUGCAGACACCUAACCUUGCCAUGAAAAAACACUUUUCACUUUUGUAAGUGAGCACUGAAAUCUUGCUUUUUCAGCUAAGCUAGAUUGUAUGAUUUGUUACAGUUUUCCCCAUCUACAACAAAUUAUUCUUAAGGAAAACAAAGCAAAAAGUAAAAUGAGAGAUGGAUUUUUAUAAAUGUUGUAGAGAUGUCUCUUCAACUCCUUUUGGAAAGAUAUAAAAUGAAAAUAAAUAUACAUGUAUUUUAGUGUAAAAA